CCUANGGGGGGCAGCAGUGAGGAAUAUUGCGCAAUGCCCGAAAGGGUGACGCAGCGACGCCGCGUGAAGGAUGAAGGCCCUCUGGGUCGUAAACUUCUUUGGUAGGGGAAUAACAGGUCGCUACAGGCGGCCGUGAAUGUACCCUAAGAACAAGCAUCGGCUAACUACGUGCCAGCAGCCGCGGUAAUACGUAGGAUGCGAGCGUUGUCCGGAUUUACUGGGUGUAAAGGGAGCGCAGGCGGAUCGGUAAGUCGGUGGUGAAAUCCUCAGGCUCAACCUGGGAACUGCCACCGAAACUGCUGAUCUUGAGUGUGGAAGAGGUCGAUGGAAUUCCUGGUGUAGCAGUGAAAUGCGUAGAUAUCAGGAAGAACACCGAUGGCGAAGGCAGUCGACUGGUCCACAACUGACGCUCAUGCUCGAAAGCGUGGGGAUCAAACAGGAUUAGAUACCCGUNUANUC
rnacentral:rRNA from 1 species